UUCCUUUCCUUUCCUUUCCUUUCCUUUCCUUCCUUUCCUUUCCUUUCCUUUCCUUUCCUUUCCUUUCCUUUCCUUUCCUUUCCUUUCCUUUCCUUUCCUUUCCUUUCCUUUCCUUUCCUUUCCAUCACAAUCAAACAGAUGCUGAGGAUCAUGAAUUAACCUGAAUCACCCAAGAUUGUGGAAUCAAAGAACAUGCACCAAUCUCCUCAAGGUGAGAUGCUUUAUGCCAUGUUCUG